rnacentral:rRNA from 1 species
GGGUUGUGAGGUUAAGCGACUAAGCGUACACGGUGGAUGCCCUGGCAGUCAGAGGCGAUGAAGGACGUGCUAAUCUGCGAUAAGCGUCGGUAAGGUGAUAUGAACCGUUAUAACCGGCGAUUUCCGAAUGGGGAAACCCAGUGUGUUUCGACACACUAUCAUUAACUGAAUCCAUAGGUUAAUGAGGCGAACCGGGGGAACUGAAACAUCUAAGUACCCCGAGGAAAAGAAAUCAACCGAGAUUCCCCCAGUAGCGGCGAGCGAACGGGGAGCAGCCCAGAGCCUGAAUCAGUGUGUGUGUUAGUGGAAGCGUCUGGAAAGGCGCGCGAUACAGGGUGACAGCCCCGUACACAAAAAUGCACAUGCUGUGAGCUCGAUGAGUAGGGCGGGACACGUGGUAUCCUGUCUGAAUAUGGGGGGACCAUCCUCCAAGGCUAAAUACUCCUGACUGACCGAUAGUGAACCAGUACCGUGAGGGAAAGGCGAAAAGAACCCCGGCGAGGGGAGUGAAAAAGAACCUGAAACCGUGUACGUACAAGCAGUGGGAGCACGCUUAGGCGUGUGACUGCGUACCUUUUGUAUAAUGGGUCAGCGACUUAUAUUCUGUAGCAAGGUUAACCGAAUAGGGGAGCCGAAGGGAAACCGAGUCUUAACUGGGCGUUAAGUUGCAGGGUAUAGACCCGAAACCCGGUGAUCUAGCCAUGGGCAGGUUGAAGGUUGGGUAACACUAACUGGAGGACCGAACCGACUAAUGUUGAAAAAUUAGCGGAUGACUUGUGGCUGGGGGUGAAAGGCCAAUCAAACCGGGAGAUAGCUGGUUCUCCCCGAAAGCUAUUUAGGUAGCGCCUCGUGAAUUCAUCUCCGGGGGUAGAGCACUGUUUCGGCAAGGGGGUCAUCCCGACUUACCAACCCGAUGCAAACUGCGAAUACCGGAGAAUGUUAUCACGGGAGACACACGGCGGGUGCUAACGUCCGUCGUGAAGAGGGAAACAACCCAGACCGCCAGCUAAGGUCCCAAAGUCAUGGUUAAGUGGGAAACGAUGUGGGAAGGCCCAGACAGCCAGGAUGUUGGCUUAGAAGCAGCCAUCAUUUAAAGAAAGCGUAAUAGCUCACUGGUCGAGUCGGCCUGCGCGGAAGAUGUAACGGGGCUAAACCAUGCACCGAAGCUGCGGCAGCGACACUAUGUGUUGUUGGGUAGGGGAGCGUUCUGUAAGCCUGUGAAGGUGUGCUGUGAGGCAUGCUGGAGGUAUCAGAAGUGCGAAUGCUGACAUAAGUAACGAUAAAGCGGGUGAAAAGCCCGCUCGCCGGAAGACCAAGGGUUCCUGUCCAACGUUAAUCGGGGCAGGGUGAGUCGACCCCUAAGGCGAGGCCGAAAGGCGUAGUCGAUGGGAAACAGGUUAAUAUUCCUGUACUUGGUGUUACUGCGAAGGGGGGACGGAGAAGGCUAUGUUGGCCGGGCGACGGUUGUCCCGGUUUAAGCGUGUAGGCUGGUUUUCCAGGCAAAUCCGGAAAAUCAAGGCUGAGGCGUGAUGACGAAGCACUACGGUGCUGAAGCAACAAAUGCCCUGCUUCCAGGAAAAGCCUCUAAGCAUCAGGUAACAUCAAAUCGUACCCCAAACCGACACAGGUGGUCAGGUAGAGAAUACCAAGGCGCUUGAGAGAACUCGGGUGAAGGAACUAGGCAAAAUGGUGCCGUAACUUCGGGAGAAGGCACGCUGAUAUGUAGGUGAAGUCCCUCGCGGAUGGAGCUGAAAUCAGUCGAAGAUACCAGCUGGCUGCAACUGUUUAUUAAAAACACAGCACUGUGCAAACACGAAAGUGGACGUAUACGGUGUGACGCCUGCCCGGUGCCGGAAGGUUAAUUGAUGGGGUUAGCGCAAGCGAAGCUCUUGAUCGAAGCCCCGGUAAACGGCGGCCGUAACUAUAACGGUCCUAAGGUAGCGAAAUUCCUUGUCGGGUAAGUUCCGACCUGCACGAAUGGCGUAAUGAUGGCCAGGCUGUCUCCACCCGAGACUCAGUGAAAUUGAACUCGCUGUGAAGAUGCAGUGUACCCGCGGCAAGACGGAAAGACCCCGUGAACCUUUACUAUAGCUUGACACUGAACAUUGAGCCUUGAUGUGUAGGAUAGGUGGGAGGCUUUGAAGUGUGGACGCCAGUCUGCAUGGAGCCGACCUUGAAAUACCACCCUUUAAUGUUUGAUGUUCUAACGUUGACCCGUAAUCCGGGUUGCGGACAGUGUCUGGUGGGUAGUUUGACUGGGGCGGUCUCCUCCUAAAGAGUAACGGAGGAGCACGAAGGUUGGCUAAUCCUGGUCGGACAUCAGGAGGUUAGUGCAAUGGCAUAAGCCAGCUUGACUGCGAGCGUGACGGCGCGAGCAGGUGCGAAAGCAGGUCAUAGUGAUCCGGUGGUUCUGAAUGGAAGGGCCAUCGCUCAACGGAUAAAAGGUACUCCGGGGAUAACAGGCUGAUACCGCCCAAGAGUUCAUAUCGACGGCGGUGUUUGGCACCUCGAUGUCGGCUCAUCACAUCCUGGGGCUGAAGUAGGUCCCAAGGGUAUGGCUGUUCGCCAUUUAAAGUGGUACGCGAGCUGGGUUUAGAACGUCGUGAGACAGUUCGGUCCCUAUCUGCCGUGGGCGCUGGAGAACUGAGGGGGGCUGCUCCUAGUACGAGAGGACCGGAGUGGACGCAUCACUGGUGUUCGGGUUGUCAUGCCAAUGGCACUGCCCGGUAGCUAAAUGCGGAAGAGAUAAGUGCUGAAAGCAUCUAAGCACGAAACUUGCCCCGAGAUGAGUUCUCCCUGACUCCUUGAGAGUCCUGAAGGAACGUUGAAGACGACGACGUUGAUAGGCCGGGUGUGUAAGCGCAGCGAUGCGUUGAGCUAACCGGUACUAAUGAACCGUGAGGCUUAACCUUACAACGCCGAAGCUGUU